ACCAAGAUGAAGGCCGUUCGCCGCUUCUUCGAGGAUGGCGACAAGGUCAAGGUGACGCUUCGCUUCCGCGGACGCGAGAUGGCGCACCAGCAUCUUGGCAUGGAGCUUCUCAACCGUGUCCGUGACGAGACGGCGGAAAUCUCCAAGGUCGAGGCAGAGCCCAAGCUCGAAGGUCGCCAGAUGAUGAUGGUGCUGGCGCCUCGCGCCUGAGCACCGCUUCGGCCGUUCCACCUGCUGGGCCGGCCUGAUCCAGGGCGGC
rnacentral:misc_RNA from 1 species